rnacentral:lncRNA from 1 species
UGUUAUACCAACUGCAUCUCUCAAAGAUGAAAUGAUACCAAUUAAGUCUUUAGACGAAAAGAAUAUUGUAUUUCCCGUGGAAUAUAAAAUUAUACAAACUACAUCUAUAGAAGAAAAAGAGAGUACUUUGCCACUUUAUGGAAAAGAUGCAAUUGAGAUAAAAGAAUCUCUUAGAGAAAAAGAAAUCGAACCUGUACCAAGUAUAACUGCCAAUAACAAAGUUACACCAAUUCCGACUUUAGACAAGGAACACGAAGAAAUAGCUAAUAUUAUUCGAACUACAUCUCAAAUUAAACAAAAUGAAUCUUCA